GAUGAACGCUGGCGGCGUGCCUAAUACAUGCAAGUAGAACGCUGAAGGAGGAGCUUGCUCUUCUGGAUGAGUUGCGAACGGGUGAGUAACGCGUAGGUAACCUGCCUGGUAGCGGGGGAUAACUAUUGGAAACGAUAGCUAAUACCGCAUGACAACAGUUAUUGCAUGAUAACUGUUUAAAAGGGGCAACUGCUCCACUACCAGAUGGACCUGCGUUGUAUUAGCUAGUUGGUGAGGUAACGGCUCACCAAGGCGACGAUACAUAGCCGACCUGAGAGGGUGAUCGGCCACACUGGGACUGAGACACGGCCCAGACUCCUACGGGAGGCAGCAGUAGGGAAUCUUCGGCAAGGGACGGAAGUCUGACCGAGCAACGCCGCGUGAGUGAAGAAGGUUUUCGGAUCGUAAAGCUCUGUUGUAAGAGAAGAACGAGUGUGAGAGUGGAAAGUUCACACUGUGACGGUAUCUUACCAGAAAGGGACGGCUAACUACGUG
rnacentral:rRNA from 1 species